rnacentral:rRNA from 1 species
UACGUAGGGUGCAGGCGUUAAUCGGAAUUACUGGGCGUAAAGCGUGCGCAGGCGGUUUGCUAAGACAGGUGUGAAAUCCCCGGGCUUAACCUGGGAACUGCGCUUGUAACUGGCAAGCUUGAGUGUGGCAGAGGGGGGUGGAAUUCCACGUGUAGCAGUGAAAUGCGUAGAUAUCAAGAGGAACACCUGAGGCGAAGGCGGGUUGCUAGGCUGACACUGACGCUGAGGCGCGAAAGCUAGGGUAGCAAACGGG